rnacentral:rRNA from 1 species
UACGUAGGGGGCAAGCGUUAUCCGGAUUUACUGGGUGUAAAGGGAGCGUAGACGGCGAUGCAAGCCAGAUGUGAAAGCCCGGGGCUCAACCCCGGGACUGCAUUUGGAACUGUGUGGCUGGAGUGUCGGAGAGGCAGGCGGAAUUCCUAGUGUAGCGGUGAAAUGCGUAGAUAUUAGGAGGAACACCAGUGGCGAAGGCGGCCUGUUGGACGAUGACUGACGUUGAGGCUCGAAAGCGUGGGGAGCAAACAGG